AUUGAACGCUGGCGGCAUGCCUUACACAUGCAAGUCGAACGGUAACGGGCCUUCGGGUGCCGACGAGUGGCGAACGGGUGAGUAAUGUAUCGGAACGUACCUUUCAGUGGGGGAUAACGUAGCGAAAGUUACGCUAAUACCGCAUAUUCUGUGAGCUGGAAAGCAGGGGAUCGCAAGACCUUGCGCUGAUUGAGCGGCCGAUAUCAGAUUAGCUAGUUGGUGAGGUAAAGGCUCACCAAGGCUACGAUCUGUAGCGGGUCUGAGAGGAUGAUCCGCCACACUGGAACUGAGACACGGUCCAGACUCCUACGGGAGGCAGCAGUGGGGAAUUUUGGACAAUGGGGGCAACCCUGAUCCAGCCAUGCCGCGUGAGUGAAGAAGGCCUUCGGGUUGUAAGGCUCUUUCGGCCGGGAAGAAAUCGUAUCAGCUAAUACCUGGUGCGGAUGACGGUACCGGCAUAAGAAGCACCGGCUAACUACGUGCCAGCCGCCGCAGUAAAAC
rnacentral:rRNA from 1 species